rnacentral:rRNA from 1 species
UCCACGCCCUAAACGAUGAAUGCUAGUCGUCGGGGAGCUAGUCUCCUCGGUGAUGCACUUAACAGAUUAAGCAUUCCGCCUGGGGAGUACGGUCGCAAGAUUAAAACUCAAAGGAAUAGACAGGGACCCGCACAAGUGGUGGAGCAUGUGGUUUAAUUCGAAGAUACGCGAAGAACCUUACCUAGCCUUGACAUUGAUUGAAUCUUUCAGAGAUGAGAGAGUGCCUUUCGGGG